UACGAAGGGGCUAGCGUUGCUCGGAAUCACUGGGCGUAAAGGGUGCGUAGGCGGGUCUUUAAGUCAGGGUGAAAUCCUGGAGCUCAACUCCAGAACUGCCUUUGAUACUGAGGAUCUUGAGUUCGGGAGAGGUGAGUGGAACUGCGAGUGUAGAGGUGAAAUUCGUAGAUAUUCGCAAGAACACCAGUGGCGAAGGCGGCUCACUGGCCCGGAUACUGACGCUGAGGCACGAAAGCGUGGGAGCAA
rnacentral:rRNA from 1 species